UACAUGUGGGGCAAGCGUUGUUCGGAAUUACUGGGCAUAAAGGGUGCGUAGGUGGCUUGUUAAGUCAGGGGUGAAAGUUUUCGGCCCAACCGGAAAAUGGCCUUUGAUACUGGCGAGCUCGAGUGCGUGAGGGGUAACCGGAACGAGCAGUGUAGCGGUGAAAUUCGUAGAUAUUGGGAAGAACACCGGUGGCGAAGGCGGCUCUCUGGACCGUAACUGACGCUGAGGCGCGAAAGCGUGGGGAGCGAACAGG
rnacentral:rRNA from 1 species